GACGAACGCUGGCGGCGUGCUUAACACAUGCAAGUCGAGCGGGAUCCAACCGGUGGCAACACCGGGGAAGAUCUAGCGGCGAACGGGUGAGUAACACGUGGGUGACCUGCCCUCAGCUCUGGGAUAAGCCUGGGAAACCGGGUCUAAUACCGGAUAUGACUCCAUGACGCAUGUUGUGGGGUGGAAAGCCUUGUGCGGCUGAGGAUGGGCCCGCGGCCUAUCAGCUGUUGGUGGGGUGAUGGCCUACCAAGGCGACGACGGGUAGCCGGCCUGAGAGGGCGACCGGCCACACUGGGACUGAGACACGGCCCAGACUCCUACGGGAGGCAGCAGUGGGGAAUCUUGCGCAAUGGGCGAAAGCCUGACGCAGCGACGCCGCGUGA
rnacentral:rRNA from 1 species